UAAAUGCGAUAAGUAAUGUGAAUUGCAGAAUUCAGUGAAUCAUCGAAUCUUUGAACGCACCUUGCGCUCCUUGGUAUUCCUUGGAGCAUGCCUGUUUGAGUAUCAUGAAAUCUUCAAAGUAAAUCUUUUGUUAACUCAAUUGGUUUCUACUUUGGUAUUGGAGGUCUUUGCAGCUUCACACCUGCUCCUCUUUGUUCAUUAGCUGGAUCUCAGUGUUAUGCUUGGUUCCACUCGGCGUGAUAAGUUAUCUAUCGCUAAGGACACUGUAAAAGGUGGCCAAGGUAAAUGCAGAUGAACCGCUUCUAAUAGUCCAUUGACUUGGACAAUACUUUUAUGAUCUGAUCUCAAAUCAGGUAGGACUACCCGCUGAACUUAAGC
rnacentral:misc_RNA from 1 species